GGUGGUAUAUCUCAUGAUUUAAUUCUUUGCCCUAAAACAAUAAAGAGCCAGUAGCAGAUAAUUAAGUAAUACAGAACUGACAUCAAAAUUUUAAAAACACAGAGAUGUCUCCCUUCAUCUCCUCUUAUUCUGAACCAAGUAGAGCAUGCAUGUCCUUGGAAAUCAUCCUCUCGUUCUAUCACAAGCCCAUCUCCCUUCGCAUAAUCCCAUAGGACUAAAAGAAUGGAGACAUUACUGAACUAGCACAAGGCACCACAGUUUGGAUUUACAUCUCCAUAGAAAUGAAUAUUUCCAUCACAUUAUGUUGUAAAAAUGUGCAAUGCUCUCCUCAGUGCUAUUAAAGAAUGAUGGUCAGCUCCAUAGCCACCAUGGUGGAAAGUGCAACCCGUUUUUAAUAUCAGUUGCUACUCCACCCAAUUUACA
rnacentral:lncRNA from 1 species